rnacentral:misc_RNA from 1 species
AACGCACAUUGCGCCCCCUGGUAUUCCGGGGGGCACACCUGUUCGAGCGCCAUUUCAACCCUCAAGCCCGGCUUGGUGAUGGGCCCCGCCCGCGGGCGGGCCCGAAACUCGCAGGCGUCACCGUCCUGGCCUCAAGCGUAGCAAAACCCUCGCUUGGAUGCCCGGGUGGCGGCCGCCCUGGAACGAUUUUUAUUUACAAGGUUGGCCUCGGAUCAGGUGGGGAUACCCGCUGAACUUAA